UGGGACUGAGGCUUCUCGGUUGUUCUGUAGCUGUUGGGAUUGUUUUCACCUUGGAUUGAAAUGCUUUUCCCUGGAACUCUUUGCCCUUCUGCAGGGGGAUUGAAGAGCUCUGCUCCUUAGCUUGUGAGACAGAAUCACCGCGGGUGCUGAGAGAGAGCAGGAAAUCACCUUUGUAAAGCUGUCCAGAAAGCCUUGAAUUCAGGUAUGAGCCUCGUGUUUAUAGGAACAUAAAAGGAACCAUGGAAACUGAAUAUGGGUCAGAGCACCUGCAAGUGGAUAAAAAGUAGAGGGAUUGCAAAGCUACCCUGAUUUCUCUGUCUUUGGAUAUGCUCUGCUGGUUGCAAACCUCCUUGGGGUCCUAGGCUCCAUAGGAGCCUUGGGGAUCUAUACAAAGAAGGAAUUUCUGGGGAAAGCAGCAGACAGAAGGCUUGCUUUAAAUUCCUGUGCGUGCCUUGGUCCUUCGGCUUCCACAGAGGAUUCCACGAGGAUCACAAGCUGCUCAGUCUACAGGGAGCUGCUGCUGGAUCUGGUGCUCCUGCUGAGCCUCAGAUAUAACCCUGCUACAGAUUAUAGACGUGUUUUGGUUGAAAUUCUCUGUGCUUGAUGCAUUGUCUGCCUACAACGCAGGGCAAACUCUGCUCCUCCCUUCUGGCCUGGCCUGUAAUGAUGGAUUAAGUAGAGCUGACACUUGGUGGAAGAGUUGCUGGUGUGCCUGGAGGUGCAGCGUGAGGUGGGCUGGCCAGAGGAGACCUCUGCUCCCCCGUAGACACUGAGCUGCUGCUUGGGAACGGAUCUUGGGGACCAGAAACAGCUCCUGAACCUCCAGCAAGCCACCUCGGGAUGCAAGUGGUGUCUGAAUCUCUUAGAGUCAUAGGAUUAUGAAGGUUGGAAUAAAGCACUGAGAUCAUCAGCCCAUCCCCACCAUGCCCACUAAACCAUGUUCCUCAGUGCCGCAUUCUCCCUCAUUUUGGGACCGCCUGGGAGCUGGAAGGUUUAUUGUUAUGGAUGGUUUCAGCUGGAUUUCUCUCUUCUUUCAAACAAAGUGUUUCCUCUUGAAUGGUUUGAGCCUGCCCUCAUUUGGAUCUUUGUUUUUGCAAAUCCAAGUCAGCAUGGCUCAUUCUGUCUGGAUCUGUGGAGGAUGGCUGUCUGUUAGAGACAAGCUGAAGUUCAGCAUGUCAGCAGUGGUCAAGGAAUGAACCAGGACCCCAGUGGCCUCGCUCUGCUCUUGAUCAGAUGAAUUUUCUUCUGGAGAGCUGGGAGGUGGGUUAGGGAAGGCUGUUGCUGUGGCAGCAGGAGCGGAUCAGCCCUCUGCAGCCUGCUCUUCACACAGCAAGCUGCUCAGCGACCUGUCAGCGCUGUGCUGAUCAGAUGGGGGCUGAAGGCAGAGUUCAGAGCAGGAGGAUGGGUGGGUCCGUGUGCUGCUGUGACAGAGAAAAAAGGCAGCAGGAGAGUGUGAUGGGCCUGUCCCAACCUUCUGCUUUUCCCAUGAGUUGCAUAGUGCCAGACCUUUGCUGUCCAGUUCUUUGGGUUGGGGACAACACGGGAGAGACAGGGGAAAUGGAGUAACAGCCCCAGCCACUGCCAUGGAGAAUAAAAUUGGGAAAAUGGUGAAAGACAAGAAGGUGAGAAAGCUAUGAGUUUUGUGUAUUUGCUGUUGGUUUGAUAUUGGAUGGCCCCGUCCCUGCAGACAGCCACGGUCAGGAUGGAUGGGCUCUGAGCACUGAUGGAGCUGUGGGUAUCCCUGCUCAGUGCGGGGAGGUUGGACCACAUGGCCUUUAAGAGUUCCUUCCAGCUCAAAACAAUGCUGUGGUUCCUUGGGGAGCCCUGGAGCUGACAUGUCCAUUUCCAGGCUAUGGCAGAGCCCUCGUGGCUUUGCAGCAUGUGCUUGUGUAGUGGGGUAGUAGCCAAAGGAGUGGAAGGGGGUCUUCCCAUCAGACUUUAAAUGUGAAGACCCUGUCCGGUCCAUCUUUCCCAAGGACAGACUGUCUCAGCGUGGCUCCCACCAGCUCAGUCUUCUGUCACUGUGUCACUGUCACUGGUGGCUGGGGAGCUGCACUAGGCACUGAAUGCCCUCCCCAUGUGCGAGCUGGGAUCCAUCUUGUGUCAGCUGCCUUCAGCCCUUCCAACCUCGUGCUGUCUCGCUGUAGCCCAGCCUGAAUUUGGCAUUCGCUGUCAGGUGGCUGAUUUCUGCCUGCAGAAUAUGGAAAGCGUCAGCCUGGCAUUUCCCGCUUGCCUCCCAGGGACAAAGCAGGUCAUGACUUACGUGUAUUAUCAUUAAAAAGAUAAUUUCCUCUAGAUGUGUGCAAUAAGACAAUGGUGCUGACCUGUGAUCCUGGCAUUGCACAGCAUUAAUGAUUUCCCUUUGCAGGUAAUAAGCAGCAAAUGUACACAUUUUGGGGAGAUCUGAAUUUUUUUUUUUCCCUUUUAACACUGCUGUCUUCCUAGGCCAGACUUAAUUAGCAGACCUCAUUAUUUCCUGAAAUGUAACUUGACUUCCAUUGAAUGAGAAUUGUUCAGUGGAUGGGGAGCAGCAGAGCGGUGCUGCAAUAUUCAUAUUGUUUAAAUUGCAACAUUAACAUUUCAUGCCGCUCUUGGCAUAUUUUCAG